AAAAUCUCUAGGGAUUGUGUUCGGCAAGCUCUGGCGAGGUUUCCUUUCUUUCGGCAAACACCGACGCGAAUUCAACGGGAGGCCAUCAUCGAUUCAUCUGUAAAUCAAGCUUUGCUUUAGGCCUUAGGGUUUAUACGAUUCCGUUCUUUUGCUCCAGAAGUUAAUGGCAGGAGAUGGAGUUUUUCGCUGUCGGCUUUGUUACAAGAGAAAGAAGAAGAAAGAGAAGGAAAACCGGCCGGAGAAGUUCUCGAUCCUUCUGCUUCAUUAUUGACAUGACGUUAUCGAUUUUAUCUGGAAGAAGCCUCUCAAUGAACGUAACUCAUUGCCUUCCAUGAAUUUCAUCUGCAAUCUUGUUAUAUGAUUGGAGAUGUUUGGAUUCGGGCUUCCAGCUCUAUCCAGGAUUGUUGUGAAGUGUGCGGGAAUUUCUCGAACCCAACGUUUCAGAUUUUGCAUUCCUUACCAUUGCUUUCAUAUGGAAGCGGAUUAGACUCUGUUUACAUAUCUGGGUUAUAGGAGGAUGUGAUUCUUUAGUGUCAGUGAUAAAUAUAUUUAUUGAAGAGCAUGAUAAUGCUAGGCCCUUGUGAAGACCUGAGAAGGUAUAUAUAAUUUUUUUAUGCUUUGUUGUCAUGUCGUGUCGACCUUUGCCAUGACAGGUGCGCUUGCUUGGCAGGUCAAAACCUCAAUAAAAGUAUUGUUUUGUGUGUUUGGGGGAGGAGAUGGUACGGUGUUGUUUUACCCGGCUCUCCUCCCCACUGCUCUCUCUCUCUCUCUCUCCCUGUCUCUCCCUUUUAUUUCAGUUCUUUCUAUAUUUUUGCUCAGUAUUUGCUUGGUUCACUAUUAGAACGACAUACAAAUCAAGAGCAACAAAGAGUGGUAUGUGCGUGCAGCAAAACCCAAAGAUAUCAACCUCAAGGUACAAAUUUCGAAUUAUAUCCAUUUUCUAAAGUCGUUAUGGUCUACUGCAUAGACCCCAACUCGAACUGUCAAUAUCGCAAAUUUUGAAUCAUAUACUCAACAUAUUUAAACUCGUUGUAUGUGGUCUAUGAUUCUUGGACCCAACUCCAGAUUUCAGUAUAGCCUGCACGACUGCGUUUCUUCGCUAUCAAACAUAACCAUAGCAUUGCCUGCAUUGCCUGCCAAGUGCAUAUUUAGCUAAUUUCAUGCUCGAUUCCUAGCCGGUGUAUUGGAAAAUAUACUGCAACUUUCGUUACUGGAAUGUGAAUUUCUUAUUGUUGUACAGAGUACAUGCAUUGUGAUCGUAUCUUAUCUUUUUGUAUUGAAUUACAUAUUCAUAUUGUUGUACUAAGUGUUACUGUCAACCUUUAUUCAGUUUUGAAAUAAAAUUCUUUACUGUUGCACAAAGUAUAUGCAUUGUGAUCGUUUCUUCUCUUUUAAUGUUGAAUUACAAAUUCAUAUUGCUGUACGAAGUAUUAGUAUCAGCAUUUAUUAAGUUUUGAAAUAAAAUUCUCUACUGUUGCACAA